rnacentral:rRNA from 1 species
GACGAACGCUGGCGGCGUGCUUAACACAUGCAAGUCGAACGGAAAGGCCCUGCUUGCAGGGCACUCGAGUGGCGAACGGGUGAGUCACACGUGGGUGCUGUGCACUGCACUUCGGGAUAAGCCGGAGAAACUGGGUCUAAUACCGGAUAGGAUCCUGCUUCAGGGUGGUGGUUGGAAAGCUUUUUCGGUGUAGGAUGAGCUCGCGGCCUAUCAGCUUGUUGGUGGGGUAAUGGCCUACCAAGGCGGCGACGGGUAGCCGGCCUGAGAGGGUGGACGGCCACAUUGGGACUGAGAUACGGCCCAGACUCCUACGGGAGGCAGCAGUGGGGAAUAUUGCACAAUGGGCGCAAGCCUGAUGCAGCGACGCCGCGUGGGGGAUGACGGCCUUCGGGUUGUAAACUCCUUUCGCUAGGGACGAAGCUUUUUGUGACGGUACCUAGAGAAGAAGCACCGGCUAACUACGUG